rnacentral:rRNA from 1 species
AGAGCUGGCGGCAGACCUAACACAUGCAAGUCGAGCGGCAGCACUUCGGGUGGCGAGCGGCGAACGGGUGAGUAAUACAUGGGAAUCUGCCUGGUAGUGGGGGAUAACUUCGGGAAACUGGAGGUAAUACCGCAUACGUCCUACGGGAGAAAGCAGGGGAUCUUCGGACCUUGCGCUAUCAGAGGAGCCCAUGUCCGAUUAGCUAGUUGGUGAGGUAAAGGCUCACCAAGGCGACGAUCGGUAACUGGUCUGAGAGGAUGGUCAGUCACACUGGAACUGAGACACGGUCCAGACUCCUACGGGAGGCAGCAGUGGGGAAUAUUGGACAAUGGGGGCAACCCUGAUCCAGCCAUGCCGCGUGUGUGAAGAAGGCCUUCGGGUUGUAAAGCACUUUAAGCAGGGAGGAAGGCUCGCAACCUAAUACGUUGCGGGAGUGACGUUACCUGCAGAAUAAGCACCGGCAAACUCCGUGCCAGCAGCCGCGGUAAUACGGAGGGUGCGAGCGUUAAUCGGAAUUACUGGGCGUAAAGCGCACGUAGGCGGUUUGUUAAGUCGGAUGUGAAAUCCCCGGGCUCAACCUGGGAGCUGCAUUCGAUACUGGCAGACUUGAAUACGGUAGAGGGGGGUAGAAUUCCAGGUGUAGCGGUGAAAUGCGUAGAGAUCUGGAGGAAUACCAGUGGCGAAGGCGGCCCCCUGGACCGAUAUUGACGCUGAGGUGCGAAAGCGUGGGGAGCAAACAGGAUUAGAUACCCUGGUAGUCCACGCCGUAAACGAUGUCGACUAGCCGUUGGGGAACUUGAUUUCCCAGUGGCGUAGCUAACGCGCUAAGUCGACCACCUGGGGAGUACGGCCGCAAGGUUAAAACUCAAAUGAAUUGACGGAAGGGCGAAUUCUGC